rnacentral:rRNA from 1 species
GUGAGGAAUUUUCCGCAAUGGGCGAAAGCCUGACGGAGCAAUGCCGCGUGAAGGAUGAAGGCCUAUGGGUUGUAAACUUCUUUUCUCAGAAAAGAAUUAUGACGGUAUCUGAGGAAUAAGCAUCGGCUAACUCUGUGCCAGCAGCCGCGGUAAGACAGAGGAUGCAAGCGUUAUCCGAAAUGAUUGGGCGUAAAGCGUCUGUAGGUUGUUUAAAAAGUAUUCUGUCAAAGAUUAGGGCUUAACCCUAGAUAGGCAGAAUAAACUUUUAAGCUAGAGUUUGGUAGAGGCAGAGGGAAUUCCCGGUGGAGCGGUGAAAUGCGUAGAUAUCGGGAGGAACACCAAAGGCGAAGGCACUCUGCUGGGCCAAUACUAACACUGAGAGACGAAAGCGAGGGGAGCAAAUGGGAUUAGAAACCCGGGUAGUCC